GGUUAAGUGACUAAGCGUACACGGUGGAUGCCUAGGCAGUCAGAGGCGAUGAAGGGCGUGCUAAUCUGCGAAAAGCGUCGGUAAGGUGAUAUGAACCGUUAUAACCGGCGAUACCCGAAUGGGGAAACCCAGUGUGUUUCGACACACUAUCAUGUCAUGAAUACAUAGUGGCAUGAGGCGAACCGGGGGAACUGAAACAUCUAAGUACCCCGAGGAAAAGAAAUCAACCGAGAUUCCCCCAGUAGCGGCGAGCGAACGGGGAGGAGCCCAGAACCUGAAUCGGCUUGUGUGUUAGUGGAAGCGUCUGGAAAGUCGCGCAGCAAAGGGUGAUAGCCCCGUACACUAAAAUGCACAGGUCGUGAGUUCGAUGAGUAGGGCGGGACACGUGACAUCCUGUCUGAAUAUGGGGGGACCAUCCUCCAAGGCUAAAUACUCCUGACUGACCGAUAGUGAACCAGUACCGUGAGGGAAAGGCGAAAAGAACCCCGGCGAGGGGAGUGAAAUAGAACCUGAAACCGUGUACGUACAAGCAGUGGGAGCACCUUCGUGGUGUGACUGCGUACCUUUUGUAUAAUGGGUCAGCGACUUAUAUUUUGUAGCAAGGUUAACCGUAUAGGGGAGCCGUAGGGAAACCGAGUCUUAACUGGGCGAAUAGUUGCAAGGUAUAGACCCGAAACCCGGUGAUCUAGCCAUGGGCAGGUUGAAGGUUGGGUAACACUAACUGGAGGACCGAACCGACUAAUGUUGAAAAAUUAGCGGAUGACUUGUGGCUGGGGGUGAAAGGCCAAUCAAACCGGGAGAUAGCUGGUUCUCCCCGAAAGCUAUUUAGGUAGCGCCUCGUGAACUCAUCUUCGGGGGUAGAGCACUGUUUCGGCUAGGGGGCCAUCCCGGCUUACCAAACCGAUGCAAACUCCGAAUACCGAAGAAUGUUAUCACGGGAGACACACGGCGGGUGCUAACGUCCGUCGUGAAGAGGGAAACAACCCAGACCGCCAGCUAAGGUCCCAAAGUCAUGGUUAAGUGGGAAACGAUGUGGGAAGGCAUAGACAGCCAGGAUGUUGGCUUAGAAGCAGCCAUCAUUUAAAGAAAGCGUAAUAGCUCACUGGUCGAGUCGGCCUGCGCGGAAGAUGUAACGGGGCUAAACCAUGCACCGAAGCUGCGGCAGCGACGCUUAGGCGUUGUUGGGUAGGGGAGCGUUCUGUAAGCCGUUGAAGGUGGCCUGUGAGGGUUGCUGGAGGUAUCAGAAGUGCGAAUGCUGACAUAAGUAACGAUAAAGCGGGUGAAAAGCCCGCUCGCCGGAAGACCAAGGGUUCCUGUCCAACGUUAAUCGGGGCAGGGUGAGUCGACCCCUAAGGCGAGGCUGAAAAGCGUAGUCGAUGGGAAACAGGUUAAUAUUCCUGUACUUGGUGUUACUGCGAAGGGGGGACGGAGAAGGCUAGGCUAGCCGGGCGACGGUUGUCCCGGUUUAAGCGUGUAGGGGGUGUGACCUGGUAAAUCCGGUUGCAUAUCAACCCUGAGGCGUGAUGACGAUGCACUACGGUGCAGAAGUAGUUGAUGCCCUGCUUCCAGGAAAA
rnacentral:rRNA from 1 species